rnacentral:lncRNA from 1 species
GGCGUUACGCAGCAGCAGCAGCAGCAGCGAUCGCGCAAGAGGCAAGAGUUUGCUGCGUGCCUUCCCGAAGCGGUUUUGCGCCCAGAGGAUGGCCGGCUGCGGGCUGUCAGAAGAUGCUUUCUUCUCUUCCUUCUUUUACAACUCCUCCUCCUCCUGGGAAACCUCCUACAACCAGAUUCGCCUUGUAGGUAAUGAACUGAAUGCUUUUUGGAUGGAACGAAAUCGGAAGAUGUGUUCCAGGAGUGCCUCUGAGCUACAAAUAGACAUUCAUCUCCUGAAAUGAGACCAGAGCUAGGAACGAAGUUAAACCACCGUACCACACCCUGAAGUGCAUACGGUGGAGGUGUCAGAUCCUCAGCACCAGCUGGUUGAUUCUUCCACUCUUAGCGUUCUGUGUUACUUGCUAAUGCAGACAGAGUAUAUAUCAGUUUACCUAGCAAAGAGCCCAUGAAAGCCCAUAUUUGGGAAGCUAGUUGGAGACUUGAGAGUAGAAACAAGUCACCUGACUUGCAUCCUUAUGUUGCAAUCAUAAGACCAUUAUUCCUUUCCUCAAAAAGGGGUAGUUCAUGUUGGCGUGAAGAGAAACGGUUCAUUUGAUCACUUGUAAUAUAACACAUGAGCGAAUAAGAGGCAUUGGAAUUUUGGCUCACAAAAGCCCUCCACAUUUUUAACCCAUUUUAUUAUUUGCAAGAGCAAUUUAGUUCCUAAUGUUAACAAUGAGUGAUUAUGAUUCUGUACUUCCGUUUACAGCAUAAAUUAGCAUUUUGUUUUCCAUUACAGCUUUUGAAUGAGGAAUUAUAAUGUAUAAUUUGCUGCAAAUAGAUGUUAUCAUCUCUUUGGAUGAGAACAACCACAUAAACUUGAGCAAAUGAUAAAAAUGGAAUCAAUUACUCCUCAAAUGGAAGUAGUUUACAAACCUUCACAUGCAAAAUGGCAACAGUAACUAGUUAGUCUAACAAAUAAUUAGUUUUUUUUAAAACAACAUUUAUUGAAUUCCAUUGACAAUUUAGUAAUUGUUUAUAGAAGAUUUAACCAUCCCCCUCACAAAAUACAUACCACAUGAUAUCUGCAUUUUAUAAACUGCAGAUUGUCUCUAUAGUCCUUGUUACAAGCUUCAUCUGUGCACAUUCACCUGUACAAACAUUCUAGAAGGGGAACAUGGAGCCACAAAUUGCACAGGUGAUGAUGAUGAUGAAUAUUAGAGAGUUUCACGCUAUGCUAGAAUCAGUAGACCGCGAUUUAAACUGUAGAGGAGAGAAGAAUGAAGAGUAUGUCUUGUAGGCUGUAUGCAAAGCCUGCUGAGGGUGAUGUGUAUUUUUUCUGCUGCUUUUGAACUUACAAUCUAGGUCUCAAGUAUUAGAGGGAUAGAGGAGAAGAGGAAGAGACAUUAUUAUAACUGCUUGAAUGAGUAAAUGCUGUGAGCCUCUGCUGGAGGCGAGAUAAUAUCUGGUACCUUACUAUAAUGAGUUUACUGGUUUGAAUUUCGUGGAAAAGUUUUCACUGUUGGUUGCUACUACAUGUUUCUGUUUAUACAAAGUUAUUUACACUUGCAAGAAGAUCAGACCACAGGCAAAAUGAAUGUGAGAAACAGUCCAGACUUUAAUCUAUUCUCUGUCCUUUGCAGAGACUUAUUUCAUCUCAUCUAAGGAUGUAAUUCAGGCAUCAUUUUCAAUUCCUUGUCACAGAGGCUGUCUGAAUUCUGAUGAUUUUCUACAUCCUGUUUGCAUGUAUGUUAAUUUCUGGUCAUCUAAAGCUCUAACCACCUAAAGCCGCUGGCCCACAUCCUCUCUCUACCUGAAUUCAUCAGCAUCUUUCUCAUAAUCUUCCCUGAUAACCGCAUUGCAUGUAUAUGCAGUAUAAUUGCUGACUGAACAUACCAUCUUGAUUUUUAUCCACUCUUACCAUUACUUAAAAAUACAGAUCCAAAUCCAUACUUUGCCUUUGUAUUUAGUGCUUCAGAUUUAAGACUUGUUGUUGUCCUUUUAAAUCCUUUACAUAAUUUAGCUUUUCCCUGUUUACUCUGUUACUACCUCUUUCUGUUCACAAAUGAUGCUAGAUUUGAUGUUUGGUUGGAUUGCUUCUGUUAACCAGCACUUUUUUGUUAUCCCUACACUUUUACUUUUACUUAGUAAACUUGUGAGGCAGCUGAGAAAAAUUAUCUAAGCUUUUUUCUUUCUGGUCUCUUGAAAACCUCUUUUACCGAAUUAUUUAAAAAGUAAUAAACUUAUUUUGUGGUUGGAAAACUAUGAAACA